AACGAACGCUGGCGGCAUGCCUAACACAUGCAAGUCGAACGCAGCGUCAGGGCUUGCUCUGAUGGCUGAGUGGCAAACGGGUGAGUAACACGUGGGAACUUACCCCUUAGACUGGGACAACCACUGGAAACGGUGGCUAAUACCGGAUACGCCCUACGGGGGAAAGCAGAGAUGCGCUAAGGGAGGGGCCCGCGGCAGAUUAGGUAGUUGGUGGGGUAAAGGCCUACCAAGCCGAUGAUCUGUAGCUGGUUUGAGAGGAUGAUCAGCCACACUGGGACUGAGACACGGCCCAGACUCCUACGGGAGGCAGCAGUGGGGAAUAUUGGACAAUGGGCGAAAGCCUGAUCCAGCAAUGCCGCGUGUGUGAAGAAGGCCUGAGGGUUGUAAAGCACUUUCAAUCGUGAAGAAAAGUUGCAGGCUAAUACCCUAGUGACCUUGACGUUAACGAUACAAGAAGCACCGGCUAACUCCGUGCCAGCAGCCGCGGUAAAGU
rnacentral:rRNA from 1 species